rnacentral:pre_miRNA from 1 species
CAAGUACUCCAUCCGUUCGGAAUUACUCGUCUAAGAAAUGAAUGUAUCUAAAUAUAUUUUAGUUGUAGAUACAUCCAUUUUUGUGACAAAUUUUUCCGAACGGAGGGAGUAGUAG